GUCAAAACGAAUCAGUAAUAUUAUAUUGCUUACAAACUUCUUAAGUUGGUGCCCAUUCUUUCCGUAGCCAAUGCUAGUGUUGAGAGGGUAUUUUUCUCAAUGUAAUACGUGAAGAAUCCACUAAGAAACAAAACGGGUGAUGAAUAUUUAAACAAUUGCUUGGUUGCAUUAGUUGAGAGAGAAUUCUCCAAGCAAGUGAAAUAUGAAGAUCUCAUCGAUCUCUUCCAAAAGGGGAUCAUAAAGUUAUAUUGUAAUUUCUUUUGCUGUUUGUAA
rnacentral:rRNA from 1 species